GGAGGGUGCAAGCGUUGUUCGGAAUUACUGGGCGUAAAGAGCGUGUAGGCGGUUUGGUAAGUCAGAUGUGAAAGCCCUGGGCUCAACCCGGGAAGUGCAUUUGAAACUGCCAUGCUAGAGUAUGGGAGGGGAGAGUGGAAUUCCUAGUGUAGAGGUGAAAUUCGUAGAUAUUAGGAGGAACAUCCGUGGCGAAGGCGACUCUCUGGACCAAUACUGACGCUGAGACGCGAAAGCGUGGGGAGCGAACAGGGAUUAGAUACCCUGGUAGUCCACGCCGUAAACGAUGAGAACUAGGUGUAGCGGGUAUUGACCCCCCCUGCUGUGCCGAAGUUAACGCAUUAAGUUCUCCGCCUGGGGAGUACGGUCGCAAGAUUA
rnacentral:rRNA from 1 species